GGGAGGGAUUUAGACACAGUCAGGCUGCUCUGUGCAAAUAGCCCCCCUGCCCGGCAGCUGUCAGAGGAGGCCUCCGCAGAGGAGGAUGGCUGGGGGCGGGGGGAGUGGUCUCUGGCCCAAUCCUGGCCCCACACAGCCUCAUUUCCCUGCUUCCAGAAGGCACCCCGAGGUCAGGAGGUCAGGUGGGGCUUUCCCCUGCCUGCAGAGGAGAAGCUGCCGCACUCAGGGGCAGCGACCUGCGCCCAUCACACAGCUGCCCGGGCUGAGCCAGACGGGAACCCAGGCGCCAUGGCUUCCAGGCCCCGUUCUCGGCUGAAGGGAUGCCCGGCUGACAGUGGGUCUCACGCAUAGUAGGUGCUCAACAAAAACCAACUGUGUGCAGAUUGCACUGAGGGGCAGCAGGCACAUGAAGGCAGAACAAAGGCAAUCCCAGGAGUAAGAAGGAAUACGUUUAACAAACAAAACCCCCAACGGUCACCCAGUGGAGAAAUUUCCAGAACAUUCUUUCCUGUGGCGUUUGGGAGCUUUUGUUCGCUGUGUCACGUGAGCACAGGCUCGCCCUUGUCCUCGUUCGUUUCCGGGGACCUGGGAUGACCACCGCGUCCUGCGGGUGGGGACAGUGGCUGGAGCUGGAGCUGAGUGUAGGUCUUGAGGAGCACUGGGCCCCCACCAGGCCCUGUCCACUCUUUCCCUGAGGUUAGGGCUGUGGUACAGAGACCACCGGUUCUGGGCCGGGUCGCAAAAAGAACUUGGCCUUGUUCCCCAAGCCUGGCCCUGGUGCUGGGCUCCUGGACCUGGGGGCGUGGUGUGCUCCUCGAUCUUAUAACACGGCCGGACCCCAUGUUGCUAGCAGACACACGGAUGCACCAAACGGAAAGGACCCCAAAUCCCGGGGCGUGUUCUUGGCCUCCCUGCCCCCCAACUGAUUCAAUAGGAAGACUCGCCUUGUCAGGGCCUGAGCCAGAGCUCGCAGUGGAGGCAGGCUGGCCUCGCCUCGGGGCUGGACAGAGCCAGGCCUUCAUCUGUGACUCAGGGGCCUCAUCUCUAAAGUGGGCAGUAAAGGCUAGAAACACCGACUCGGAGCACCUGGGAGACGUCGGUAAAUCGCAGCUGCUCUCGGAGGCGUUUAGGGAGGCAUCCGUCCUAUCCCCGGAGAAAGUGAAGAAACUCCCUCUGAUCUCAGCUGCCCUCUCUCCCCGGGAGCACGAUUUCAAAGGAUUUCUCCACGGAGAGAAAGCAAACCUCAAUCAUCUUUGUGCACAAAACACCCACCCAGGCUAUUUGUCUCCGUCCUGAGCGCCUGGCACGGGGCCCGAGAGGAGCGCUGGGAAGCGGUGCUUAGCGAAGAAUGCUGUCAUCCGCGGGGCUCACUGUCCGCCGCCCCGCAGCCCCGCCCCUGUACUCUGCCCCGGGUUCUUGGCAGCCCCAGGUAACCGCAAGACAAGUUUUAUCAUCUGUUAAACCUGUCGUUUGGGGGAAAAAAAUGACUUCAAUAAAAUAUUUCAACAAUUAUA